GGGGACGACAUGGCUUCGACGGGGGAAUGAGGCUUGUAGAUGGCAUGCCGAGGUCGCCUGAAUCCUCGUAAAAUAGCUGGCAAAUAAACAUUAAAUGCAGACGAUUAUUCGUAUGCUAUGGCUGCCUAACUAAACGGCAACCCGUCCUUUCGAUGAGCGCCACCAUCAUCGGAAUGGGCGACGCUUCGGUGGCUGGCCGCUUGUAGUGUCUGGAUGCAUGCGGUGAGAUUUUUCCGGGCUGGCUGCAAAAAGGCUUGGUUGGAUGUGCCUUGCGCAGUGAGAAACAAACAUUAAGCUAAGCAUGUAGAAGUCUGCGAGACUUGUCCUUCGGACGCGGGUUCGAUUCCCGCCGUCUCCACUU
rnacentral:tmRNA from 1 species